rnacentral:rRNA from 1 species
GAUGAACGCUGGCGGCGUGCCCAAUACAUGCAAGUCGAGCGAAUGGAUUAAGAGCUUGCUCUUAUGAAGUUAGCGGCGGACGGGUGAGUAACACGUGGGUAACCUGCCCAUAAGACUGGGAUAACUCCGGGAAACCGGGGCUAAUACCGGAUAACAUUUUGAACCGCAUGGUUCGAAAUUGAAAGGCGGCUUCGGCUGUCACUUAUGGAUGGACCCGCGUCGCAUUAGCUAGUUGGUGAGGUAACGGCUCACCAAGGCAACGAUGCGUAGCCGACCUGGGAGGGUGAUGGGCCACACUGGGACUGACACACGGCCCAGACUCCUACGGGAGGCAGCAGUAGGGAAUCUUCCGCAAUGGACGAAAGUCUGACGGAGCAACGCCGCGCGAGUGAUGAAGGCUUUCGGGUCGUAAAACUCUGUUGUUAGGGAAGAACAAGUGCUAGUUGAAUAAGCUGGCACCUUGACGGUACCUAACCAGAAAGCCACGGCUAACUACGUGCCAGCAGCCGCAGUAA